rnacentral:rRNA from 1 species
UACGGAGGGGACGAGCGUUGUCCGAAGUUACUGGGCGUAAAGCGCGCGUAGGCGGGUUGGCAAGUCUGCUGUGAAAGCCCGGGGCUCAACUCCGGAAUUGCCUUUAAAACUGCAUCGCUAGAAUUGUGGAGAGGUAAGUGGAAUUCCGAGUGUAGAGGUGAAAUUCGUAGAUAUUCGGAAGAACACCAGUGGCGAAGGCGACUUACUGGACACAUAUUGACGCUGAGGUGCGAAAGCGUGGGGAGCAAACAGG